rnacentral:lncRNA from 1 species
GCUAGGUUAGAGCUUGUUGCAAAGACAUAAAGUUGGUUUUGAUAGGAUUUGUUUAGAGCUAGCAAUUGUUGUUGGAAGUCAAGGUUUGUAUUGACAACUUGGGAUUUAUGCAAUGAAAUUAGGACUAGCACUCUUGGCUCGUUCAUAAAAUUGGUGUCACAUCUAUAUUUCAAAUUUUGACAGUGCUUGGAUAAUUAGGUGUUCUAAGUGUAUGUAAAAUUUUGUGGUAAUCUAAUAGUGCAAUUGGGAGACAACUGGGUUUUGGUACUAGGACAUAUCAGAAGUUGGCAGUUUGAGGUUGGAUAGGAUUUUUGUGAUAUCUAGAGAUCUACUUAUCAAAUCAAGGUGAAAUUUGGCAUGGUGUUGAAAGACUUGAAGAUCAAGUUGCAAACCAAUUUUGAAUCAAAGUUAAUAGUUGGAGAAGGAAAAACCACUAUUGGAAUUUUUGCUUCACCUUUCAAAUUGUCAGUCGGGUAACAUUAGUGGAGUUUUUGGAGGUUUUUUCACAAUUUGUGAGUUGGAUUGGACUGAAAAUUCUUAGGCACAUGG